AUUGAACGCUGGCGGCAGGCCUAACACAUGCAAGUCGAACGGUAACAGGAAGAAGCUUGCUUCUUUGCUGACGAGUGGCGGACGGGUGAGUAAUGUCUGGGAAACUGCCUGAUGGAGGGGGAUAACUACUGGAAACGGUAGCUAAUACCGCAUAACGUCGCAAGACCAAAGAGGGGGACCUUCGGGCCUCGUGCCAUCGGAUGUGCCCAGAUGGGAUUAGCUAGUAGGUGGGGUAACGGCUCACCUAGGCGACGAUCCCUAGCUGGUCUGAGAGGAUGACCGGCCACACUGGAACUGAGACACGGUCCAGACUCCUACGGGAGGCAGCAGUGGGGAAUAUUGCACAAUGGGCGCAAGCCUGGUGCAGCCAUGCCGCGUGUAUGAAGACGGCCUUCGGGUUGUAAAGUACUUUCAGCGGGGAGGAAGGGAGUAAAGUUAAUACCUUUACUCAUUGACGUUACCCGCAGAAGAAGCACCGGCUAACUCCGUG
rnacentral:rRNA from 1 species